CGAAGGUGGCAAGCGUUACUCGGAAUUACUAAGCGUAAAGCGCAGGUAGGCGGUUGGAUAAGUUUCUUGUGAAAGCUCCUGGCUUAACUGGGAGAGGUCAAGGAAUACUGUUCGACUAGAGUGUGGUAGGGGUAACUGGAAUUCCCGGUGUAGCGGUGAAAUGCGUAGAUAUCGGGAGGAAUACCUAUGGCGAAGGCAGGUUACUGGGCCAUCACUGACGCUGAGCUGCGAAAGCUAGGGGAGCAAACAGGAUUAGAUACCCUGGUAGUCCUAGCCCUAAACGAUGUUCAUUAGAUGUGGGAGGUAUCGACCCCUUCCGCGUCGGCGCUAACGCAUUAAAUGAACCGCCUGGGGAGUACGGCCGCAAGGUUG
rnacentral:rRNA from 1 species